GAAAAUUAAAAUUAUAUGUGCUAUUUGUUAUUGAAUAAGACAUUAUUGUAUUAAAAACAUAUAUGACAGAAAUUAAAUAGUGCAAGUAUAAGGGCAAAUGAAAUGUAAUUUGAAUAUAUAGAGAGGUGAGAACUUUAUGUCAAGUUGCCGCUUUAUGAUGGAAUUAGUGAUCGACGUGCCGCCCUUUCGUUCUUAACGUCCGUAUCAAACGAAUGCUGGCCAACCUGCGUUGUAAGCUGACACGUUUCAACGGGAAAAAUCCAAUUUUGGUGAAUAUCCAAGUUACGCUAAUUCAAAAUCUCAGUGCAUAAUCUGAACGCUUAAAAACUCUUUUAUCUCUCAUUAUUACGCAAAAUCCACUCGAGUGCGGUGUGUGCCACUGACGUCGUUUGAGCUGGAGAGGUUCUAAUCAUUGUGUUUAUUGCCAUUAACGUUGUAGUAUAACUUCUUUAA